rnacentral:lncRNA from 1 species
GGCCGGGCGCCUCCCUCCUGCCUCGGCCCGGGCCCGCUCCGCUCCGCGCCUGCGCCGCCGCCGCUUCCGCUUCCGCCGCCGCCUCGCGGCCAACCCCGGCGGGGCCGCGCGCGGGGCGCUUCCGGGCGCGCUGCCGGAAGUCCCGCCCCUAGGGGAGGGGGGAGCGGGGCCGGGGGCGGGGCGGCGUGACGUCACCGGGGCGGCCGUGACGUCACCGCGCCGCUUCCUGCGGCUCUGCCAGUGCGGGCCGGGGCCGUGAGGGGCUGGGGCCGUGCCCCUCCCUCUGCGCUGCGGGUCCCGCCGCCGGUCCCGGAGCCGCUCCACGCCCGCCUCAGGCCCCUGUGUGCGGGCACGGAGCCCCGGGGGCUUCGCGUUUGUGCCCCCGUGUGAGGAAGGGCCCUACCGGGGGCCCGCCGUGCCUCACAGCGGGCCCCGUCCCCGCGCCCUGCCCGCCGGUACCGGCGGCGGGCGGCCCCGCACCGUGACCAGCGCUGCCUGCGGGGGCUCCAGGCUCAAACCGGGCCCUCCCGGCGGGGCCCGAGGCCGUGCCCUGCCCCCACCCGGGGCCGUGCUGCGCUUCGUGGGGGCGGGCAGGGCUCGGGCUGCCGGUGCCUGGCGGUACCGGGGCCGUGACGCUCCUACGGGGGCACCGCGGGGGGGCAGGAGUCCACCUGGACCCAAAGCAAAAUGCUGCAUUCCUCUCUGCGUGUCACGAUGACAGGAUCCAAGCCGUGCCUACGGAGCUGGUCAUGCUUACUUAACCAGGCUCUGCUUUUUCACGUUGGGUUUGACAAGUUAACCGGUUGAAAUCAGUUUAAGCAUACCUCCAUUAGGUUCUGCGCUGGCUUAACCGAGCUCGGGCAAAAACUGGUUUUAAUUAACAAGUGCAGUCUGCGCACGAAGUGCCAAGAUUGCUUUUAAUUUGUGCAAACCCGCAGAGGUAGCUCUGCAGACUGUCAGCAGAUCGUAAGGCUGAGCCCUGGCAGCGUGCAUGUCUCAGUGCUCCUUCCCCUCUCCAGCAAGCCCACGCGGUGCCUGUGUUGCCGUGGCGGAUCCCGCUGGGAUUAACGCGGGGCCGCUGCUAACGCUGCGAGCAGGAGCUGCUUUCCCAUUCCCUGUCUGUCUGCGUUUUACACCUGCAGCCUAGGUUAGAUCUGGCCAGAUAGCGGCCUCAUUUGCAACUCAAUCUCUGCGAACUGAUUAAAGCGUGCCCUGGUUUGGGGAUCUCGGCUCCUGCAGAAGGCAGGCUCCUGUUAGCUCAGGUGUCCCCAGGCAGCAGCAGGGCGUAAGGAAGUCUGGGCAGAGCUCUAGCCCUGGGGGACCGGCAGGGGUGGGCAGGGGGCCUUCACGUAGCCCUUACCUGGGCCGUGGUUCCUUGUGCUGAAGCUAACGUUAACAGUGGUUCUUGGAUAGUCUGCCUUUCUAGUCCAGCGAAGCAGCAGAACUAAGCCCUGUAAGCAGGCGUUCAGUUU